AACGAACGCUGGCGGCAGGCCUAACACAUGCAAGUCGAGCGCCCUUUCGGGGGAGCGGCGGACGGGUGAGUAACGCGUGGGAAUAUGCCCUUCUCUACGGAAUAGCCUCGGGAAACUGAGAGUAAUACCGUAUACGCCCUUUGGGGGAAAGAUUUAUCGGGGAAGGAUUAGCCCGCGUUGGAUUAGGUAGUUGGUGGGGUAAUGGCCUGCCAAGCCGACGAUCCAUAGCUGGUUUGAGAGGAUGAUCAGCCACACUGGGACUGAGACACGGCCCAGACUCCUACGGGAGGCAGCAGUGGGGAAUCUUAGACAAUGGGGGCAACCCUGAUCUAGCCAUGCCGCGUGAGUGAUGAAGGCCUUAGGGUUGUAAAGCUCUUUCAGCUGGGAAGAUAAUGACGGUACCAGCAGAAGAAGCCCCGGCUAACUCCGUG
rnacentral:rRNA from 1 species